GGCGGUUCUCGGGUGACGCACCCCUGAAUCGGGCUCCCCCCUCUCUGGUUCCAGAUGCGUCACGCAAGAACAGCA
rfam:Myotis brandtii contig285228, whole genome shotgun sequence.